rnacentral:rRNA from 1 species
CCGAUAUCCUAUCUUUAAACUAGCGAUAGAAUGAAUGCCAUUACAUCCAGUACCUAUGGAUUCAAGUCCUAGUCGGGGAGUAUGUUCGCAAGACUGAACUAAGAAUGACGAGGCACCACCAGGAGUGGAGCUGCGGCUAUUUGACUCAACACGGGGAAACUUACCAGGUCCAGACAUAGUAAGGAUUGACAGAUUGAUAGCUCUUUCUUGAUUCUAUGGGUGGUGGUGCAUGGCCCGUUCUUAGUUGGUGGAGUGAUUUGUCUGGUUAAUUCCGAUAACGAACGAGACCUUAACCUGCUAAUUAGUCGUCUUCAUUUUAUGGGGUAUGACUUCUUAGAGGGACUAUGCAUAUCAAGUGCAUGGAAGUUUGAGGCAAUAACAGGUCUGUGAUGCCCUUAUAUGUAACUAGGCUGCACGCGUGCUACACUGAUGAAUGCGCACAAAGUGCCUAGCUAGACAUAGUAUGGCAACCUGGAAUAUGCAUCGUGAUGGGGAUAGAUCUUUGCAAUUAUAGAUCUUGAACGAGGAAUUCCUAGUAAGUGCAAGUCAUCAUCUUGCAUUGAUUAUGUCCCUGCCCUUUGUACACACCGCCCGUCGCUCCUACCGAUACCGGGUGAUCCGGUGAACCUUUUGGACCUUCACUGGAAAAAUAAGUAAACCUUAUCACCUAGAGGAAGGAGAAGUCGUAACAAGUAAUCUAGAUGCAUCGCGAGGUGGAGCUCGAAUCACUGCCGCGUUGCG